UACGAAGGGGGCUAGCGUUGCUCGGAAUCACUGGGCGUAAAGGGUGCGUAGGCGGGUCUUUUAAGUCAGGGGUGAAAUCCUGGAGCUCAACUCCAGAACUGCCUUUGAUACUGAGGAUCUUGAGUUCGGGAGAGGUGAGUGGAACUGCGAGUGUAGAGGUGAAAUUCGUAGAUAUUCGCAAGAACACCAGUGGCGAAGGCGGCUUACUGGUCCGGAACUGACGCUGAGGUGCGAAAGCGUGGGGAG
rnacentral:rRNA from 1 species